CAGUAGCCACGGGAAUACGGAGGAUCCAAGCGUUAUCCGGAUUUAUUGGGUUUAAAGGGUGCGUAGGCGGCCUUGUAAGUCAGGGGUGAAAGACGGUAGCUUAACUAUCGCAGUGCCUUUGAUACUGCAGGGCUUGAAUGUACUUGAGGUAGGCGGAAUGUGACAAGUAGCGGUGAAAUGCAUAGAUAUGUCACAGAACACCAAUUGCGAAGGCAGCUUACUAAAGUAUGAUUGACGCUGAGGCACGAAAGCGUGGGGAUCAAACAGGAUUAGAUACCCCAGUAGUCCCUGUCUCUUAUAC
rnacentral:rRNA from 1 species